CAGCAGUAGCCACGGUAAUACGUAGGUCCCGAGCGUUGUCCGGAUUUAUUGGGCGUAAAGCGAGCGCAGGCGGUUAGAUAAGUCUGAAGUUAAAGGCUGUGGCUUAACCAUAGUACGCUUUGGAAACUGUUUAACUUGAGUGCAAGAGGGGAGAGUGGAAUUCCAUGUGUAGCGGUGGAAUGCGUAGAUAUAUGGAGGAACACCAGUGGCGAAAGCGGCUCUCUGGCUUGUAACUGACACUGAGGCGCGAAAGCGUGGGGAGCAAACAGGAUUAGAUACCCGAGUAGUCCCUGUCUCUUAUACA
rnacentral:rRNA from 1 species